UUGGGCACGCUUCGGCUUUUGCAAACCUGUUUUUCUUUUCUUUUUUCCCGGAUGUUGGGAUAAGCACAACUGCGCCCCUCGAGGACCCCCGCAGCCCCCGUGGUUCGACCCUUGAGGCUCUCUGGCAGGCGGAGGAAGGGUGGGGGUGCGAUGGCAGGGUCGGAGGUGGAACAAAUUGUCGGAGCCCCCCAGGACGCGAUAGAGGAGGUCAUAGAGAAACGCGGACGGAGCUCGCCGGCGAUGGUGACCUUUCCGGAUGCCUUUCGCCGAAAAGUCGAGAGCUUUCCCCCACCACUCAAGCUGGAAGUCGAAGAAACCGCGGAAAACAUGAGCCCUCGCAACGUGUGGCAGGUACCCUAUUCCUCUUCCCCCAUCCCUCCCUCCCUCCAGUCUUUAACCUUCUAUACCUCUCCUUCUUCCACAUCCUUUCUCCCCUCUUCCUUUCUAUCUUCUAUCCAACCAAUCUUUACCUCUCCCUCCUCCCCAUCCUUUCUUUCGUCUUCCUUUCUAUCCCGAUCCGUCUCGCCGGCGGCAGUUUCUAUCCCCUGUUUUUGUGCAACGGGACGCCUCUUUUGUUCAACCUAUAUAUAUAAUCGAAAAGUGUGCAAAUCUGGGACGGGAAAGUAGCCUAGCAGAUGCUUGCCCAAUAAGAAUUUGGUCAAUCAUUUAGAAUCGAUUCAAUUUCCUAUUUAAAGAGUCCUGAAAGUAGAAAGGAAAGGUUAGUUACGAGAUUAAAAGUGGCAGCAGGCCCUCUCCUUCUCCUAUCUUCUUAUUCAUCUAUUUUAGUAUCCUUGUCAACCCGCUUUAUCACUCUCACUCUACUGUGUAGAACGCUGAGAGUUUUCACUGAUAAACAAACCUGAGAUCAUGUCAGGGAUUGUUUAUACGAGCAGGCGAAAGAAUUGAUUCAAAAGUGUUUGAAUUCAGAUCUAAAAUCAGAUCUGAAAUUAAAUUAUGCUGCUUGAAACCUGGCAACUUCAUAUGUUUUAAGAGACUGCAUGAAGUUGGUAGCAGAGUGUCAGGAGAUGACGCUGACAGUUUCUUUAAAAGCUGCAGCCAUGGUGAAUAACACAGAAUGAGAUAAGGGCCUCCAAUGACAUGAGGAUUCACUUGAAAGAUUAGGGCAAACAGUAGGCGAUAGAUAUGUAGUGGUAGUUAGAAGUGACUGUGUUGCGGAGGGACAGCAUGAACAAGAGAUCCGAUGAAGUUAUAGAAAUGCUAAAGUGAUUGGAUAAGGUAAUUCAGAUCCUCCUCCUCUUUCGAAUUUGGAAAAAUAAUGUCCAGAUUAAGCCCCACGGUGCACAUUGGAAACAACCCUCGAAUGAUGCAAAAAAAUCUAAUUUGACUUUCAAUUUUUGGGAAACAGUAUGCUGAUUUCUCUUCUCAAAAUCAGUCAUAUGCUAACAAUAACAUUGUAAGGCAGCAAGCUAGAACUUUUGAAACUCAAGCACAGCAGAAAUCUGGGCUUGAAGUAUCUGAACAGCAAGUAGCAGAAAUUUGGAACUGCAAAUGGAUGUUGAUGAAUGUUUAUCAAUUGGACAGGCUUAUCGUCACUCUAGGUCGUUUUGUCCACAAAUCUUGAGCACUGCAGCAUGUUGUAGAACCUCUAACAGUGUGUGAUUAGGGUGUAUAACUGGAUUUGCCUGAUUUUCAAGGAUUGAUGGUCUUGAAGUCUUAUGACAAUUUGCUUGGCACCAAUUGGGUGAAGGAAGAAAGAUGCAAUUUGCAACCGCAAAGCUGAAAGGGGCUGCUUAUAUGUGAUGGGGACGAGAACUAGAGUUUAAUAGCUCUGGAUGAGGAGAAGUAACUACACGGGCUGAGAUGAAAAGGAUAUUGUGCAACAGAUUUUUGCCAGUGGGUUAUGCAUGGCACUUACAUUUGCAAUUUCACAAGUUGCACUAAAGGGAUGAUACUGCUACAGAGUUCACAAGAGAAUUCUUUUAUUUGACAACCAGAAGUGGGAUUUAUGAGUUAGAAGUUGUCCUUGAAGCUCGUUAUCAUACAGGUCUGAAGCUAUGUAUACACAACAAGAUUGUAACCGUUCGAGUUUGGGCAGUAGAAGAAGCUUUCCAGAUAGCAUUACAAAUUGAAGAGUAGUUAAAUUGAUGAACAAUGAGUAGAAAACCAGCCCUAGGUUCUUGAAUGAUUCCACAACCAAGGCCUUUGGAUGAGGCUGGCUCACUCAAUACAAAGACAAAGAGAAGGAACAUCCAAUUUUCUAAUUGUGGAGGAUCGGGCCAUAUUUUAAGUACGUGUCCUUAGAAAAUGGUGACAUUGGUAGAAACAAGUCCCCAGGAUAUAGGGAGGUUCCUUAUACCUAUGUGAAGCUUGGAGGAGACAUAGGGGAUCGGACAUUUUUCAUACGCAGGCUCAUUCAUGCUCAAAAGCAGCACCCUGAUCAUAAUUGAUGGAGAUCUGAUAUUUAUAAAACAUGCGUGAUAUGCCAAGGAAGGCUUUGCGACUCAUUAUUGAUGAUGAGAGUACAGAAACCAUGGUCUCUAGUGUCUUAGUUGAAAAGCUGAACUUGAAGAUAGAGCACCAAAAGGCAUCACUAUCAAUUAGCAUGGCUUAGUGAUCAUGAGCAUCUCGUUGUGAAACACUAAUAUUUGGUUCGUUUUUCAAUUGGGCUAUAAUGAGAAGGUGUUAUAUGAUGUAGUUCUCAUGUCUGCUGAUCAUAUGUUCAUUGAUGGAUGAGCCAACACCUAUAGCUUCAGCUAUAGAAAGCAGAUUUUGACUUUCCAACCUACUCCAUCAGUGCUGACUUUUAACAACCCAAAGCAAUUAGGAUUAACCAGGAAACCAAUACUACAUCAAGGCAAAGGCAUAUUGGGCUUGUAUCGAGGAUGGAAACCAAUUCAGCUAUUUACUCAAGCUCGAGGGGAGCUUAUAUGCAGCAGAAGUGAAUUGAUGCAACAAAGAAGCCCAUUUAAACUGUUCAGGCUACUGUAUCAUGAACAGCAAAGGGGCCUGUUUUGGUAUUUUAGUCAUAGUUUUCUAGACAUUUUUCUUUUAAAAUUUGUUGGGAGUCUUAUGUGCUGUUAAAUUUAUAGGCCAGUUGGUGCUUGUCUAAUAGGAGUUCUAGUUAGGUGUUUAGCGUCAAUUUAUUUCCUAUUUGAAAGUCCUAAUGAAAGUUGAAUUAGUGACUAGUCUUGCCUCUUUAAAAGGGAUGUUGACCUGCUGUUUUGAAAAUUUGUGAGUUACUCUGAGACUAAAAUUGGGCACGUCCCUACUUCUUCUCCUAUCUUCUUAUUCAUCUAUUCUAAUCUCUCUCUUACUACUCUCAUCAACCUGCUCUCUCUCUACCAUGCAAAACACUGCUGCUAAACAGCAGAGUUUUUGUUGAUAAACAGUUCUGAGAUCAUGUCCGAGACUGGUAUACACAAGCUGGAAGAAUUGAUUCCAAAGUGUUAGAAUUCAGAUCUAACUUUAGAUCUGAAAUUGAAUUAAUGCUGCUUGCAACCUCCUAUCUUUGAUGCAGAUUAAACUAGAGAUAUUAAGCAUAACAAAAUUUUGUUCUUAUAGAUGAGAUAAUUGUAUUCUGAUUGAGUGUUUUUUUUUUUUAAUAUAUAAGGGGAAAAAAGACAAGUCAAAAUAUCUUUCUUUUUCUCGAACCCUCCCAACUAAAAAUCUUUCCUUCCGUUCUCAAAUGAGAAUACAAGGAAUUCUAUUUUCAUACAAUAUCUUAACUGAAUUUCAUGUAAUGAUCCUUUUUUGUUCUUAUGGUAGCCUGCUCCAGUCUCUUUACAAAAUUUUCGCUGUUGAGUUAGCCAUACACUUCACAUGUUUCUAGCAAUUCACAUAGCCUCAUCAAAUGAUGUAAGUUGUGGAUAAGAAUCUACAACGCACUAAAAGUCCUUGUUGACGGUCCUUUACUCCGACAGCAUCUAGAGUUUCUCGAACAAUGUGAUAUCUCACACUGGGUAAAUCCGUAACUCUUUUCUUACUAAUACUGCAGAAUGUUCUUGUAAAUUUUGGCCAUUACUUUUGCUAAUUCGAAUUGAAUGGUCAUAUCAAAUUGGUCUAUUUUCGGCUUCAUAUACAUGGUUAGCAUAUUCAUCAUAGUUAGCAGCUCCGUAUCAAGGUCAUUAUCAAUAUCAUCACUAUCAUCAAUAUCGAUAUCGUCACAAUCAUCAAUAUCAAUAUCAUCAAUAUCGAUAUUGUCAAUAAGAUAACCUUUAGGCUCGUCAUCUAGGAACUUGUUUGGAGAGGCCAUAUCAAAAUGAGCCAAGCUACAAUAUUUUUCAAAGGUUGGCUCAUAAAUGAGACAAGGCUGAACACUUUUGCCGUGCAAAAAUAAUGGGAAAGCUUGGGUCAGCUCAACUAAAGCUUGGCUCAAAACUUAGCGGAGCCAAGCUGAACAAAUAUUGUUAAGUUGGGGCUCGAGCUUGGCUCAAGCUCGAGCAGCUCUUUAUAUUUGAGAGCCUGAGCAGCCUGUUCCUCGGGUUGCACCCGUUCCUAGUUCCUUUAUCUGCUUCUUAUAUUUUAGUAUCAAGGAUUUGGUAGGUCUUAUUUCCUUCACUGGAAGUCUAAAAUGGAGCAUUUGCAUGUGGAUUCUAGAAGUCGUCUAUCAGAUCAUUUGAAAGAUUUUGGGCCAUCGAUGAAUUGAAAGGGUUCCAAGGGGAGCAGUGCUGCUUCUAGGUUGUAAAUAUAGAAGAAAAAGGGAAGGUUGACCUGGGGUUGAAAAGUCUUGUUGGGUUAAUUAGCAUAUCUGCUUGACUUAAGAAAAUUCUUGACGUGGAUGUCGGUUUAAGUUUGGGUGGUUGCUGGGUGCCUAAGGUCACUUUGAUGGAUGAAGAUUCUGCCAGCUCUGUGAAAUGGGAGCAAGAAUUGAUCUGUUUAAUGAAUUGCCUGGGGAAGCAGGGAUUGGAAGGGAAAGUUGGAGCCGUCAAAGGCAAUUAAUGAUGACAUGUGGUUUCUUUGAUCCAUGUCCUGGACAGUGGAUCUGCUGAUUUAAUUGAUUCAUUGUGCAUACAAAAGCAUUGGAUAGAAAUUAAAAGGUUGUGCUUGCUUAUUGUAGUAGAAAAGAUAUAGCUGAUUAUUUUGAGGAGGCAAGUUGUUACUCAGGUAGAUUCUGACGUCACUACUGGUUGUUUUACAUGUGCAUGUCUUACAAUUUACAUGGCCUGCUUUUAGUCCAUCUAUAAGCAGAUCUAACAAGUAAAUAAACGUGCAGUGACAUCGGAGGAUCGAAGUGAGAUUGUUCUGCUUUGAUCCUGAAAUGCUGUGAGUUCUACACAUCUUAGUCAAGCUUCAUUGAGAUUUUGUUGAGGCAAUACAGGUGCCAUUGUGUAAGUUGAUGUUACAGUUGAUGCAGUUGAUUACAUAUGAUGGUCUCUGUUGGAUCAUUUAAUAACCUUGUAAGGGUUGCUUCAUUUCACCUUUUUAUACAUAACUAUGUGAAUACUGCAAAUUAAUGGUCCUGCCUCUCUCUCUCUCUCUCUCUCUCUGGAUUUUAUCUUUCUGGGUGUAAUGAAAUGAUGGCUUAAUGAUGGAAUUAGAAGCCUCUGACCCUCGCUUAUGCUACAUUCAUGACUUUGCAAUUGUGGGUGAUAGUCCUAGCUCAGUUUAUCUCUAUGAGCUUUCAUGUGAUUCAUAUUGCAUCUCAUGCACCUCCAAACGGUUCCAUGCCUGCAAUAAUUUAAAAUCCUGUGGCAAUCUGAUGCGUUUUGGAACAGUCAAAUAGAGACUACCAGCUGCUUGGACCAAGUGCGGUUGGUUUGUCUAGAUAACUUGGCUAUUUCCCUUAAACAUAAAUGCUUAUUAUCAUAUAUUGACUUCACAAUUUUUGCAUUGCAAUGUUUGAGUUCAUGGUAAGCAGUUAUGUCACGUCGAUCCAUCAGCUCAACACACUAAAUUUUCAGGCUGUUUCUUUUGGUUACAGGGGUUGCCUUACUAAAAUAUGAUGUUGUUACUCCUCUAGGUUUAUGCUCUUGGAGGAUUUAUGAUUCUGAGGUGGAUCUGGGCUCGGUGGAGGGAGAGAAGGGAUCGAGGAGCAAGUGAAGAUUCAUCUGCUUAAAAUGAUAAAAUUGUCAGGCCGAAGCUUCCUCAUGUGGAACUACACCUGUUGAAAGCUCCGUCAUCUCUGUUAUCUUAUGUUGCAAACUAAAUGCUCACAGAUGUUACAUUGGUUGAACAGGAUGUGAUACGAAGAUGUGGGCAUCUACAAUGCUCUUAGGAUCAUGCAGGUUAUUUCUAAGCAAUCUGUUUUAGGCUCCAUUGGUGGUGCACAUACAGUUUAUUAAUUGGAUGAUCCCACCUUGUUAACGACUUGGAACUCAUUAGCAAUAUUUGUGUGAAACGGUUAAGCUGGAACUGCUGCGUGAUCUCUGUUUUAUCAAAUCAAGUUUACUCAUAUAAUUACGGGGUUCAUAGAUAGAAAUCUAGUUGGAUCUGAUGGGGGGAUCAGGGAAGCCUAGCCUGUAAGUUUGUAGAGUUGAAUUAGUCUUGUUUUAAUUCCUUUAUUUGAUAUCGAUUUCUUUCGUCUAACAUCAUGCGGGGUAAGAGUUCUUUCUUUUUGUUCUCUCAUUAAACAUUAUUCAAUCCCAGUUUGUUAGCUGGGAAAGGGAGCCCACCUUGUUAAGCAUGUGUGGCCGAGUACCAUAUGACCUUCUGUUGUUAUAAUUGAUAUAUUUAGGUAUAUAGUGGCAGACAUUUUGUUGCUGCUUGUCAUUUCCUUUACGAUAAGCUAACGAAAAGGACUGCAAGCUGCACACUUUCAGUCCUCACAUGGUACUCUUGCAUGCUGUUGCUCCCCCAUUGUAAGAUAGUGUGCUGGACUACUCUCUUACAGCUACGAACGAGCUUUUCAUGCUGUGCGAGGCAACUUUCUGCUGUGGCACCUGAAGCUGCCGCUUUUGCUUGGACUCCACGAUUGUAAACUUCACUGAAGCAAUCCAUUUUUUGUUCAGCGCCCAAUGUGUGCUGCCGAGGCUUUGUUCGUUGUAUUGGAGGUAUGUAUGUAGCAUCAAAAGAAAACUGGCAUCCAAAAAAAAAAAGAACGAAAAUUGUCGUUAAGUUUUUCACGAACUGGUUUGUAUUUUUUUUUUUAAAAAAAAUAAUUUGAUGUCCGUUUGUUUGGUUUGCUUUGACCUAGCUCCUUUGGUGGUCGACUCGCAUAACCUUCGUCACUAUUACUAAAUAUUAACAAUAAUAUUAUUCUUGAUGGAACAGGUAAGAAGGGAUGUGACGGGAAGGGGACACAAUAAGAGAGCAAGGCCCCAUUGGAAAAGGAGGGAGCCAGCCAUCAUCCGUUUACAACGCUGCUCGGAG
rnacentral:lncRNA from 1 species